UACGAAGGGGGCGAGCGUUGUUCGGAAUCACUGGGCGUAAAGAGUGCGUAGGCGGCGAUAAAAGUUAGAAGUGAAAGCCCAGGGCUCAACCCUGGAAUUGCUUUUAAAACUAGAUUGCUAGAAUUCGGGAGAGGAUAGCGGAAUUGUCAGUGUAGCAGUGAAAUGCGUAGAUAUUGGGAGGAACACCAGUGGCGAAGGCGGCUCACUGGACCGGUACUGACGCUGAUGCGCGAAAGCGUGGGGAGCAAACGGG
rnacentral:rRNA from 1 species